rnacentral:rRNA from 1 species
AUUGAACGCUGGCGGCAGGCCUAACACAUGCAAGUCGAACGAGUGGCGGACGGGUGAGUAAUGUCUGGGAAACUGCCCGAUGGAGGGGGAUAACUACUGGAAACGGUCGCCAAUACCGCAUACCAUCGGAUGUGCCCAGCUGGGAUUAGCGAGUAGGUGGGGUAACGGCUCACCUAGGCGGCGAUCCCUAGCUGGUCUGAGAGGAUGACGAGCCACGCGGGAACUGAGACACGGUCCAGACCCCUACGGGAGGCGGCAGUGGGGAAGAUUGCACAAUGGGCGCAAGCCUGAUGAAGCCAUGCGGCGUGUAUGAGGAGGGCUUUCGGGUUGUAAGGUACUUUCAGCGAGGAGGCGUUACUCGCAGAAGAAGCACCGGCUAACUCCGUGCCAGCAGCCGCGGUAAUAC